rnacentral:lncRNA from 1 species
AUCGCUAGAGCAAGUGUAAUCGCCGGAGCUGGAGCCUUUCUUGGUGUUGGUGUAAUAGCUAAAGAAAUUGUUAUGUUUUAAUUAAGUGUGUUUCACGAAAAUUAAUGAAUUAAUUAAGAAUUUCUUCAACCUAUUUCUUCUUCUCAUUUGGUGCUCCUUCUUCUUCUUCUUUCUUUCUUUUUAUUUUUUAUUUUUACAGUGGCUGUAAAAUGCAACGAACCAAACCUAGUUACGAAUGAAGUCCAAUUUAAUUUGACUUGAUUAUAGCAAAAUAC